AUGUGGUGCUCGAGGUGCUCCUUCUGUAAGGGCAGGGAGACCUUGCAACAUCUUUUCUUCACCUGCCCAGUUGCGAGGGUAGUCUGGAGGACGGUGGGGUGCAUCCUUGGCACGGACUUAUGUCCUGACAACCUGUGGCAAUACCUUUCCUGGUGCUACAUUUUCUUACCUGACGGAUCUAAAUUCUAUACCUUUGGCCUGGCUGCGAUAUGUUGGGCUAUGUGGAAUUGUCGCAACCAAGCCACAAAGCUGAGAACUCCUUUUGAUGUGGUUUUCUCUGCAUGUGGUUAUAUUAUCUACUGGGCAGGCCUGAUGGAGGGAGCUGAUCGCGAGGCGAUGGAGCGCGGCGCCAAGAUGCUCAAGACCAAUGCAGCUGCCAUGAUGAGGAUAUGUGCGGCCCCAGCUGGAACAGCGAUGGACUGA
rnacentral:rRNA from 1 species